rnacentral:rRNA from 1 species
GACAGAGGAUGCAAGCGUUAUCCGGAAUGAUUGGGCGUAAAGCGUCUGUAGGUGGCUUUUCAAGUCCGCCGUCAAAUCCCAGGGCUCAACCCUGGACAGGCGGUGGAAACUGCCAAGCUGGAGUACGGUAGGGGCAGAGGGAAUUUCCGGUGGAGCGGUGAAAUGCGUAGAGAUCGGGAAGAACACCGACGGCGAAAGCACUCUGCUGGGCCGACACUGACACUGAGAGACGAAAGCUAGGGGAGCGAAUGGG